AUCGCUUCUCGGCCUUUUGGCUAAGAUCAAGUGUAGUAAAGACCAAAUCUUAAAUACUAUAAUAGUAUCUUAAACCUUAAAUACUAUGAUAAUAUUUUUACUAAAUUGUUGCUGUAUCAGUUAGUGAGAAUAAUCUAU
rnacentral:snRNA from 1 species